UGCUCUCUCCAUCUCUCUGAUUCUACUGGUCCUGUUCUGCAAGAGGAACAAAGAUGUAGCAGCUGAACCCAGAGAUGUUACGUAUGCUGACGUUAGAAUCAUACAGGAACCACAACCCAGGAGAAGGAGAGAGAAGUCUCCAGGAGCUGAUCCAGUCUACUCUGCAGUGAAGACCUCCAACACCACAGUUCCAGGUGGAUCCGGUCCAG